UAGGGAAUCUUCCGCAAUGGGCGAAAGCCUGACGGAGCAACGCCGCGUGAGUGAUGAAGGGUUUCGGCUCGUAAAACUCUGUUAUUAGGGAAGAACAAAUGUGUAAGUAACUGUGCACAUCUUGACGGUACCUAAUCAGAAAGCCACGGCUAACUACGUGCCAGCAGCCGCGGUAAUACGUAGGUGGCAAGCGUUAUCCGGAAUUAUUGGGCGUAAAGCGCGCGUAGGCGGUUUCUUAAGUCUGAUGUGAAAGCCCACGGCUCAACCGUGGAGGGUCAUUGGAAACUGGGGAACUUGAGUGCAGAAGAGGAAAGUGGAAUUCCAUGUGUAGCGGUGAAAUGCGCAGAGAUAUGGAGGAACACCAGUGGCGAAGGCGACUUUCUGGUCUGUAACUGACGCUGAUGUGCGAAAGCGUGGGGAUCAAACAGG
rnacentral:rRNA from 1 species